rnacentral:rRNA from 1 species
UGGAGAAUCUUGCGCAAUGGGCGAAAGCCUGACGCAGCCAUGCCGCGUGGAUGAUGAAGGUCUUAGGAUUGUAAAAUCCUUUCAGCGGGGACGAUAAUGACGGUACCCGCAGAGGAAGCCCCGGCUAACUUUCGUGC